UACGAAGGGGGCUAGCGUUGCUUGGAAUCACUGGGCGUAAAGCGCACGUAGGCGGAUUGUUAAGUCAGGGGUGAAAUCCUGGAGCUCAACUCCAGAACUGCCUUUGAUACUGGCGAUCUCGAGUUCGGGAGAGGUGAGUGGAACUGCGAGUGUAGAGGUGAAAUUCGUAGAUAUUCGCAAGAACACCAGUGGCGAAGGCGGCUUACUGGUCCGGUUCUGACGCUGAGGCGCGAAAGCGUGGGGAGCAAACAGG
rnacentral:rRNA from 1 species